rnacentral:rRNA from 1 species
UGGGGAAUAUUGCACAAUGGGCGCAAGCCUGAUGCAGCCAUGCCGCGUGUGUGAAGAAGGCCUUCGGGUUGUAAAGCACUUUCAGCGAGGAGGAAGGUGGCGAGCUUAAUACGCUCAUCAAUUGACGUUACUCGCAGAAGAAGCACCGGCUAACUCCGUGCCAGCAGCCGCGGUAAUACGGAGGGUGCAAGCGUUAAUCGGAAUUACUGGGCGUAAAGCGCACGCAGGCGGUUUGUUAAGUCAGAUGUGAAAUCCCCGGGCUCAACCUGGGAACUGCAUUUGAAACUGGCAAGCUAGAGUCUCGUAGAGGGGGGUAGAAUUCCAGGUGUAGCGGUGAAAUGCGUAGAGAUCUGGAGGAAUACCGGUGGCGAAGGCGGCCCCCCUGGACGAAGACUGACGCUCAGGUGCGAAAGCGUGGGGCAGCAAACAGGAUUAGAUACCCUGGUAGUCCACGCUGUAAACGAUGUCGAUUUGGAGGUUGUGCCCUUGAGGCGUGGCUUCCGGAGCUAACGCGUUAAAUCGACCGCCUGGGGAGUACGGCCGCAAGGUUAAAACUCAAAGGAAUUG